rnacentral:tRNA from 1 species
UGCUCAGUAGGUAGAGCAACUGACUUGUAAUCAGUAGGUCACCAGUUCGAUUCCGGUAGUCGGCACCA